rnacentral:tRNA from 1 species
GGAGAGUAUAGCUCAGUGGUAGAGCACAUGCUUAGCAUGCAUGAGGUCCUGGGUUCAAUCCCCAGUACCUCCA